rnacentral:rRNA from 1 species
UGAAAUCUCACCAGGCCCGGACACUGGAAGGAUUGACAGAUUUAUGGCUUAAUUUGACUCAACACGGGAAAUCUCACCAGGCCCGGACACUGGAAGGAUUGACAGAUUGAUACCUCUUUCUUGAUUCUGUGGGUGGUGGUGCAUGGCCGUUCUUAGUUGGUGGAGUGAUUUGUCUGGUUAAUUCCGAUAACGAAUGAGACUCUGUCCUGCUAAAUAGUGUCUGCUUCUCUUUUGAGCAGACAAUUCUUCUUAGAGGGACAGGCGACUCUUGAGCAAUAA